GGUUUUGGCUUCAUUCGGUCAGAUUUUCAGUCUGUGCAGAAUUGUCCAGUUGGUUACUUCCACUUCACCAUUUGAUUGCGGAUGGCUGACCGAAGUGAGUUUGUACGUAAUAUAAAAUUUCGUGCAAAAUUUUCUAAAAUUUUGUUAUCAAAUUAUCGAUCAUUGUCGGUGAUGAUGAUGUGUGGCAAAUCGAAUCUAUAAAUGA
rnacentral:lncRNA from 1 species